rnacentral:tRNA from 1 species
ACCCCUGUAACUCAGUGGAUAGAGUAGCGGACUUCUAAUCCGUUUGUCGUUGGUUCGAAUCCAAUCAGGGGUG